UUUUAUUAAAAUUAGGCAGAAUUGGAUUUCCCGAACUUAAAAGAGCUAUUAGUAGUUUUAAAUUUAGUUAUAACAUUCAGGGAUGUGGCAUCAUCCCGACUAAAACUGUUGAUAGGGGUGAAACGCCUCCACUUUUAAAGUUAGCUGGAUGGCAGUUAAAUACAUUGAGUGUAUGUUUCGAAUCUAUUAAGUGAUAAGAUUUAGUAGAAAAAAAUUAUGCUUUAUUAAAAUAGUCUUUAUUAUUUAAAACAUCUAGAAGAAUAAUAAACAAAAAAUUAACCUAGCUUAUAUAUUUAAACAUAAUUGCUCAAUAAACCGAAUAGCUUUAAUUUAUUAAAUAAUGUAAAAAUUAGUAAAAUAAAUUAAAAAGAUAAAAGGAACUCGGCAAAUAGUUCUCUUGCCUGUUUAACAAAAACAUAGCGGCAUGAUACCUAAUAUGCGGUGUAAUCUGCCCAGUGAUAAGUUUAACGGCCGCAGUACUUUGACUGUGCUAAGGUAGCAUAAUAAUUUGGCUUUUAAUUGAGGUCUAGUAUCAAAGAAUUUACAAGGGAAUACUGUCUCUUAAAUUAUACUUUAAAAUUAUUUAAUAAGUGAAAAUACUUAUAAGAAAAAAAAUAGACGAGAAGACCCUUAGAAUUUUAAGAAAUAUCCACUAAAUAAAGGGAAAUGCUUUUUGUUGGGGCAACAUAUUUUCACAGGCAAUAAAAUAAUUAAUAAAAAAUUUACCGAUUAAAUAUUUAUAUAAAAAUUACCUUAGGGAUAACAGCAUAAUUUUAAGAUAAAGUUUGUGACCUCGAUGUUGGACUAGGGACGGAAAACACAAGAUGUGUUUGUCGGAAGUUCUGUUCGAACGUUUUUUACCU
rnacentral:rRNA from 1 species